CUGGGAGGACCAUCUCCUAAGGCUAAAUACUCUCUAGUGACCGAUAGUGAACCAGUACCGUGAGGGAAAGGUGAAAAGCACCCCGGAAGGGGAGUGAAAUAGAACCUGAAACCGUGUGCUUACAAGUAGUCAGAGCCCGUUAAUGGGUGAUGGCGUGCCUUUUGUAGAAUGAACCGGCGAGUUACGAUUUGAUGCAAGGUUAAGCAGUAAAUGUGGAGCCGUAGCGAAAGCGAGUCUGAAUAGGGCGUUUAGUAUUUGGUCGUAGACCCGAAACCAGGUGAUCUACCCUUGGUCAGGUUGAAGUUCAGGUAACACUGAAUGGAGGACCGAACCGACUUACGUUGAAAAGUGAGCGGAUGAACUGAGGGUAGCGGAGAAAUUCCAAUCGAACCUGGAGAUAGCUGGUUCUCUCCGAAAUAGCUUUAGGGCUAGCCUCAAGUGAUGAUUAUUGGAGGUAGAGCACUGUUUGGACGAGGGGCCCCUCUCGGGUUACCGAAUUCAGACAAACUCCGAAUGCCAAUUAAUUUAACUUGGGAGUCAGAACAUGGGUGAUAAGGUCCGUGUUCGAAAGGGAAACAGCCCAGACCACCAGCUAAGGUCCCAAAAUAU
rnacentral:rRNA from 1 species